rnacentral:lncRNA from 1 species
GCUUUUGUAUUUCCUUGCUAACUGUUGACCUUUAUUUAGUUUGAAGGAAGAGUUUCCUAACUGGUAUGAGAAGCUUGUUUUGGAAAUGGUUCACCAUAACACAGCCUCCUUAGAGAAGCUUGUCGACUCUGCCUGGUUAGAGAUCAUGACCAAAUAUGCCGUGGGGGAAGAGUGUGACUUUGAGGUAAGUCUGUAUUCUUGUUUGUUUGUUUUUCGAGACAGGGUUUCUCUGUGUAGCCCUGGCUGUUCAGGAACUGGUCACUAUAGAUGAGGAUGUCCUCAAACUCAGAGAUUCACUUGACUGCUGGGAUUAAAAGUGUGUGCCACCACCACCUGGCUUGUUUUUGGUUUGUUUUGGUUUGUUUUUUUUUUAUUUUCUAAAUUGAUUGAUUGAUUGAGACUGCCUAGCUCUGUGGUCCAGCUAAAGUCAAAGUGAUUUAUUUGCCUGCCUCUGCUGGGAUUAAAGGCAUAUACUACCAUGUUUGGCUGAAGCUAACAUUUUGUUUGUUUGUUUGUUUGUUUUUGUUUUUCGAGACAGGGUUUCUCUGUGUAGCCCUUGCUGUCCUGGAACUCACUCUGUAGACCAGGUUGGCCUCGAACUCAGAAAUCCACCUGCCUCUGCCUCCCGAGUGCUGGGAUUAAAGGCGUGCGCCACCACUGCCCGGCACAAACAUUUUUUUUAAAAAAAUACCUGUAUGUUUGGGAUAGCAGAGUCACUUUACAUAAGGCAAAAGAAUAUGAAGAAAAGUAGUGAGGUAACAUUUCAAUAGGUAUUCAUGUUGACAUGUAUUAGAUGAAUUCAAGAUAAGAAAAUAUCUGAUCAACACUGGGCUUACUACUUUUUACUUUUGUCAGAGUAAAGAAAGUGCAUUGUUUCUUAAGUUAGAUGGAUUCCUUUUUAUUUUUGGAGACAGUUUCUCUGUGUAGCCCUGGCUGUCCUAGAACUUACUCUGUAGACCAGGCUGACCUUGAAUUCAGAUCCACCUGCCUCUGCCUCCUGAGUGCUGGGAUCAAAGGCGUGCGCCACCACUAGUGCUGGGCUAGGGUGUGUUCUGAAACCUAGACUCUGUCCCGUUAUUCACUGAUCUCUGGUCCUUAGGUUGGUUGCCUUUUCUUUUCUUUUCUUUCUUUUCUUUUCACUGAUCUUUUCUUUCUUUUGAAAGAGAUGGUCUGGAUUUGGAGUCCAGGUUGGCCUGGAGCUUGUAGUCCUACUUCAGCCUCCUCAGUGCACCACAGUGCCUGCCAGCGCUGUUUGAUUUCCACCCCCUCCUCCCCACCCCAUUAGGAAGGGAACCCUGGGCCUUACAAGCUUAGGGACCCUCCAUCACAUCUUUGGACUUUAUGUUGCAUUUUGGUUCUGAAAAUUGUUACUGUAUUUGGAGUGAGGAAAUAAAUACUUUAUUUAGAGAAUUUGAUUUUAUUAGUUUGUUGUUGUUUGACUUAGGAUGUUGCUCUAUAUCCCAUGCUGGUCCAGAACUUCCUGUGCAGCCCAGGCUGCCCUCUAGGUUGUGGGCAUCUUGCCUCAGCCUCUCCAAUAUUGGGAUUAUAGCUGAAGAAGUAUAUGUAUGAUUUAUUGUUUUGUUUUUGUUUUUUCCUAGACAAGGUUUCUCUGUGUAGCCCUGGCUGUCCUAGGACUCACUUUGUAGACCAGGCUGGCUUCAAACUCAGAAAUCUGCCUGCCUCUGCCUCUCAAGUUCUAGGAUUAAAGGCUUGCACCACCACUGCCCGGCUUUUCCUUUUUAAGAGCAGUGUGACAGAUUUAUUUAAUACAAUUUUUCAUCAUAUUCAUUUACUUAUAUGUUGUUCCUUGCAUAUAUAUGCACACUCCUGUACCUCAGAACCUGUGUGGAGGUUAGAGAACAACCUGUGGGAGUUGUUUCUUGGCUUCCAGCAUAUGGGAAUUGAAAACUCAGUUUGCCAGGUUUGUUGGCACGUGCCUUUAUCUGCUCAGCCAUCUUGUCAGCCUGAACAUAAAUUUAUUUAGGAGAAGUGAGAAAGAACUUCAGGGAGUUGAAGUGGCUCCAAAGGGAGGAUGAUCCAGGAAAUGCUCUUCUAAGUAGGAGAAGAAAUAAAGUAACCCCUUAUCUUUGCAAGCUAUUACCUAGAUGCUGGUUUAAAUAGCUACCCAUCUUUGCAAUCUCAGAGUGUGAUUUUCAGGGGUUUUAGUGUUAGGCUAUCUUGCUCAGGGGCAGAAUGUGCUGUAGUAGCCAGUAAGAAGUGAGACUGACACUGAAUUCAUUUAUGUCUCUGAUACCUCACUCUGCUUGCACUUUAUUUCACUGAUGUAUUUAAUGAAUUUACUCUUGUUUUUACUUUGUUAUUUUAUAUUUUUUAUUUGUAAUGUCUGAAAUUAUCAGUGGUUUUGUUUAUUGGUUGGUUUGGUUUGAUCUUUGAGAUUCUCAUUCUGUAUGCUAGGCUGGCCUUAAACUCUAAGUAGUUUUCUUGCCUCUGUCUCUUUUUGUUGUUUGAGGACAGGGUCUCUUUACAUAUCCCUGCCUGUAUUAGAACUUAGAACUCACUCUAUAGAACAGGCUGGCUUCCAACGCAAAGAAAUCUGUUUGUGUAGAUGAUCACACCUCUGCCUUUUAAGUGUUACAUCUUAACAACAACAACAAAAAACAGAUGGAGGAUUUAAAUCGUGUAAUUGAAUUGAGUUUAGUAAAGGGACUUUUGAAAUCAGACAAGAGUCUGAUCAAGCACAAGCAACACUUCAUAAGGAGAAGUCCUGGUUGCUAUGAGCAAUAGGGAUAUUGUCAUUUCUAAACAAACCUCAGGGAAAUAGAGGGAAGGUAGUGGCUCCAAAUCAUAGGAAAAGUAACUAUAGUUAUUAGACUAAUUUAGUGAUCUGAUCUAGCUAACUUGCUUGGAAUUUGUUAAGGGAAAUAUAACAGAAAUAACCCCACCAUGUCUGAUUACUGUGUGCUUCCUAUGGGCUGACCUCAUCAAGAUCUGGAGGGCACAGAAACCCAAAAUAGCCUUUGUAAACACUGAGCCAGGUAGAGAAGAAAGACUAGACUU